rnacentral:rRNA from 1 species
UACGUAGGGUGCAAGCGUUGUCCGGAAUUAUUGGGCGUAAAGAGCUCGUAGGCGGUUUGUCGCGUCUGCUGUGAAAAUCCAGGGCUUAACCCUGGACCUGCAGUGGGUACGGGCAGACUAGAGUGCGGUAGGGGAGAUCGGAAUUCCUGGUGUAGCGGUGAAAUGCGCAGACAUCAGGAGGAACACCGGUGGCGCAGGCGGAUCUCUGGGCCUUACCUGACGCUCAGGUGCGAAAGCUAGGGGAGCGAACAGG